rnacentral:rRNA from 1 species
AUGGCGGAAGAACCUCCGGUGAAGAGGACCAAGACGGAGGAGGACCUUGGUGCGGGGUCAGAGCCAGACGCCGCGGCGGCGGCGGCGGCGGAACGGGAGAGGCCGGGCGGCGAGGUGACCGUCAAGAUACAGUCCAAAGCUCUCCGCUGCCGGAUCUGCUCCGAGCCCCUCAAGCCGCCCAUCUUCAAGUGUGCGGCUGGGCACGUUUUGUGUUCUCAGUGCCCGGAAAAGCUCCGUGAGGUUGGGCACGUUUUGAGGCUGGGUACAUUCUGCGCUCUGUGUUGCAAAAGCACUAGCUAUUCCCGCUGCGUCGAGCUCGAGCAGUUCAUCGACGCCAUGAAAGUGCCAUGCUCGAACCAAACAUACGGCUGCAACGAGUUCGUCGGCUACCAGCAGAAAGAGAAGCAUGAGAGUUCAUGCCCACAUGCUCCAUGCUACUGCCCAGAGGAUGACUGCGCCUUCAAAGCGCCGGCAUGUUGCCUGCUGGACCACUUCGUCACCGCGCACGGAUGGUCGCCGACCAACUUGGGUUACAACAAGCCACUGAAGAUCCUCUUGGCACGAGACCGCCGGUUCACGCUUCUGGUUGGGGAGGACAUGUCCUUGUUCCUCCUGAUCAACACCCUGACCAGCAUCGGCAGUGCUCUCGCCGUGGUCUGCGUCAGGCCCCACGAGUCUGAACCGAGCUAUUCGUGCAACAUCUCUGCUGCUGCUCAUGGUGUCGCUGGUGGGAAAACCGAUGGGAGGCUCGUGUUCCAGAAGGAUCCUCACGUGUCAAGCAGCUCGCUGGCGGGUGGAGUUCAGAUGGGCAACUUCUUCCUGCUGGUUCCUCUGGAAUUCGCCGAGACCUCAUCUGGUGAACUCACUGUACACAUCCGCAUCGACAGAGUGGCGCCAUAG